CUGCCGUCGUCAUGGCAACAUGAAAGGAGCCGAUCUCAUUACUGAGGCCCGGACACAUUAUUUUCUCCAAGGAAUUUCUUCUUUUCAUUAUUUCCCUCCAAAGGCCUCUCUGUGUGUCAGUUGUCUGUAACUGGAAACAAACAGCCCCGAGACUUGCAACUUAUUACCAUGAAGCAGCAGCCGCAGCCAGGGAUUAGCUUGAGCAGUUUCUGUGGAUGGAGGCCUCUCUCUGUGUCCCGGGAAGGUUGACCUCAGACCCCCACGGAGAGGAAGGCAGAGGCUGCCACAGUUCUGAUAUCUGACCUCACCAGUCAGGUGCACCUUGUGUCUGCCUCACUCUGUGUCCAACAGGCAGAGGUCAGGUCCCUCAUCAGGGGCUCCAGGAAGCUACAGUGGCACCUGAGGAGGGCUCCUGGAUAAGGCUCCAAGGCAUCAAGUUACAUGGACCUCAUUUUGUAAGACAGGAUCAGAGUGGGCUCCCAUUCUACAGAGGUGGAAACUGAGGCUCUGGGUGGAACUUUGACCCUCCCCACCGGCUUCCCACAAGACUCCAGAUUCUUCCUUCUGCUCCAGCUUCUCACGGACUCAGUCGUUCAGCUCACCAGAUUCUCCACUCUGGGAUACUGGAGAACUGCCUGGAAGAAGAGGCGUGGGAUGUCUGCCCCUGUGUGGUGCGCAGAUGGAACCAGGGAGCUCCCAGCCUCUCAAUGGGAAGGCCAGCACGUUCAGCAAAGAUGAAGAUGUGUAGCUGUGAAGCUGAUGACCUUGUGCUGACAGCUGGAUGAUUGUCUCUGUCACAUGGCAACAGGUGGAAUCGAGAGGCAGAAACCAAGUCUAUACUGUGUUCCUGGAACUUAACCUUUCCCCUACGGCACCCACAAUAUUGAGGGAAAGAUGGAUCAAACAAGCCAAGAAACAGAUGUAUGCACAGGUAAAAAUUUUAUCUUCCUCCUAGGAAAUCCGAAGAACUGGGAGGUGACUAUUUUGCACCAGAGGGAUGAGCAGGGAAGGUUUUUGGUUUGAAGAUUUUUGGUUUGAAAUCCAAAGAUGAGAGGAAGCUGGUUAUAUGAAAGGUGAGGAAGGGAGAACAGCAUGUGUAAGGGUCCUGGGGCAGCCAGAUCCAAGAGCGUUCUGAAUGCGGGAAGAAGGCCAGUGAGGCUGGUGAGAGGCAGAGCACUGUGCUUUGGGUAGUUUGGCCAGCAAUUGAAGAUCUUAGAAAACAUUGUUUUGGGGUCAGCUCACCCAUUUCCUGGGAACCUUCUGGUAAACACAACCAUUAUUACUGUUGGCUUGGGCCUUCCAUGGUGACGACUCCAGGAAGCCUUGCAUGCAUCUCUAGCCUCAGCCCCUGUUCUUCCCCUUCCUGUGAACGUCUGAUCAACCGCAAGACAGCGACCUACUCACAGAACCGUACCCAGUGCCGGCUUUUCUGGGUGGUGGCCCUUCAGAGGGGGAGGCUCUGCUUGUACCCAUGGCCUCACCUCGUGAACUACAUGUGUGCAGCAUGGUGGGCAAAGGGAAGUGCCCGGGUUCAAAUCCUGGGUCUGCCUUUGGCAGUUUGAAAGGCUCCUUAACUCUGUGUCUUAGUUUCUCGUGAGGAGAAGUCUCUGGUCAGGUGGACUGCUGUGACACCCUGGUAAACCCUGACAGGUUUCUCACCCCGGUGCCAAUGCCCAGUGAGGUCCUCCUUGGUUCUGACAGUGUCUGCCUGAUAAGAGCUGCCACAGCCCGGCUCUUUCCCCGCCAGCCUGGCCCGCCCAUGCCGUCCUGUGGGACCUGCUUCCUUCUGCCUCCUCCAGCAGUUCGGGGUGGGGCCCCUUUGAUCCUCACAGUUUCUCAGCUCUUCUGAUGGUGGACACCUAGGCCUAGCUCCUCCCACAUUGGAGAUCACGGGGAUUGGGAGACACACAGUGAUUUGUAUGAAAGGAGCUGGGCAGCUUCAGGCUGAGAACCUGGCUGGAACUGCAGGAAACUUGUUCCCCUGGGAAGGGAUGAGCUGUAUCGAUCUGGUCUGUCUGUCCAUCCAUCCAUCCAUGAGGCGAUUAUGCCCCAGGCACUGGGGACUCACCAGUGAACCCCCUGCUGCCUCUGACCUGUAAGCAUCUUUCUAGGAUGAGGACAGGCCCUGCUCUGUGAGCUACUGACAGGUGUGGGAAACCCAUGGCUCAUUGAGUUCCUAACCACCCAAGGCCAUUCUUGUCACCUGUCUUCCAGGUCCUGACCUGUGAGGAUUGGAGAUGGGAGGCCAUGUGCUCAAGGAUGCUGGCGGAGUUUGUCUCCAGCCUCAUCUCGGAGACAGAGGUGGCUGUUCCUGAGUUCCUUUGGGGAGGACCAUUUCCCGAUUCCUGACCUGCCUCUUCUAUAGAGCAGGUCCCCACAUUCUCCCCACCUGAGUGGUCCUACUGUGCUUCCCACCUGGCAGGAAGGAGCAGCCAAGAGGAGCCCAGCAGAACCAAGCCCAUGGCUCCUGCUCCUCAGGCUGGCUAGCCUGCCUGCAGGAAGCCUGACUGGGCCCCCUUCCCAGGACUUCACCUUCUUCUCUCUGUCCCCAAAGUACCCAAUAUGCUUGGGCCUUCUUCAGGAUCCCACUCUUUCUCCAUCUUCCUCCUCUUCCUCCCUCCUGCUCCCAUUUCUCCUCCUCUGUCUCCUUCUCCUGUCUCCUGUCAGACUCUGCUUAAGUGCCUGCUGAUUAGACUGAGUGGACCAGAGCAGACUGUCUGGGUUUGGAAGCUUGACCUCCAGCUGUGCCACACAUAGCUUUGGGAAGUUCCUCCAGUUCCCCAGGCUUUCGUUUUUUCCAUCAUCUCAGAUGAAGGUUGUUCUGGGGGAUGAAAUGAAAUAGGCUUUGGUCAUUGCUUCUCUCAUAACUGUGAGCCAGGUAAACCCCGGAGACUUGGGAAUGGAAGCAGAAGAAAACUGCCACCCCCUUGAGCUCCAGCAGGCAGGACCCUUUCCGAGUCACUACCAGCCAAGCUGGCAGGAAAGUCUGGAAGGUGUGUUCUAGAUGGCAGGGAGGUCCUAUGAGGGAUGUCUGCAAGUCCAAGCUCUGCCCCUGGACCUCGGGUGCGAAGUGUGGCUUCUCAGAGCUUCCCCUGCUGUGCCCAGCCCCCUGUGGAGCCCACCAUCAGCUGGAUCCAGAAGGACUCAUCUUCAGAGGGAGCAUGAGGCUCUGUUCUCAUGAAGGCCCCAGACAAACACAGGCUUUGGUGCUAGGACCCCCAACCUCUGCCAAGCACGGUGAGCACGAGAAUUCACUUCGUUCUGAUUUUGCCUCUUGCCAGCUGAAGGACUGGAUUUUAUACCAGGUCAAUUUCAGACCAUUUGAUAUUGAUAUAUGAAGAUCCCAGGGGAUUACUGAAUGCAUUUCUCAUCCUGCCGAGAUACUAUCAUGGAAAGAAAGUGGGAUUGACUGUUAAGGACAAAUUGAGAAAGACAUGGCCAUUUAAGAUAACUCCUUAUCUGUGUACAAGCAAAUGGUGUCGGGGAAAUAGACCACCAGUUGACAGUCGGAGAUUCUCCUCUGGGCUCUUCACCCACUUUCCCUACUGCUGUUCACACUUAGGGAUUAUCCCGUUAUCCUGAGAGCGGUACCCUGGGGCCCCUGCUGGAGGACACUAGAGAAGGGUUUUCUGUGGCAUUCCUCUGGAAGGGUUGGGUGGAGGGGCUGGGGAAUUUGGGAUGGAAUGGCUUUGAGUACGACAAGUCUCUCCAGCAGAGCAUCUGGUGCUUGGAGAAUGGUUCUCUCAGGUGAUCCUGUGACCUGAUGGGUGGAGGGCUGAACUUUUCACACGGUGAAUGGUUUUCCCCUUCUCAUCAGUCACGGAUGCUGGAAGCUGGCUACUGCCAUGGCAGGCUCACUCCUAUGCCGUCACUUUCCUGAGUCCUGUAGUUGUGGACACUCUCUAGAACCCCAAGUGUUCCCCCUGCUGGUGGGUACAGUGGCUGGAGGAGCAGAUUUUCUGCUCCAGGUCCUGCUUCCACAAUCUGGCUUUCUCCAGUCUUGGGGGCUGAUGGUGCAGAAGGGCUGCUUGCUUUUAUUUUUUGUCCUGGAUCCUACAGAUCCUGUGAGGGGUUCCAUUGCAGGGCAAUGUGUGCUGUGGGUUCUUCAAGGGGGCAGGGGUUGAUGUGGGGUCUUCCACAGCUCUCCAUGAACAUGCUCCUACCUGCUUACUGUACUUCCCAGCAGAGGGGAUUUCACAGGGAAAGGGAUUCUGGAGACCAAGAGGAGCCACGAGAUCUGGGGACUCAAAGCCAAAGUUCUGGAGGCCCCUGACAGCAGAUUCAUUACUAGUUCACUGUCUCAGUUUAUUCCCCCCAUUGCUGUGAUAAAAUACCCUGAUGAGAAGCCCUUUAAGGGAGGAAGAGUUUAUCUCCGCUCACAUGUGAGUGUGCAGCCUCUCGUGGUGAGAAAGGCUGAGAAGCUACUGUUCACAUCUCAGCGGGUGAGGAAGCAGAUAGAGGGGCGUUCGGCUCACCCUCUUCUCUUUCAGUGUGGAGCCUCUACCAACGGGAUGUCACGACCCACUCAGGGUAGGUGUCUUCCCUUGCUGUUCUCUGGAAACAUUCUUACAGAUAUACUGGGGGUUUGCUUUCCUCAUGCUCUAAAAAUUGUUAAUUCAAUUAAUUUAAUAAUGGAAUUGAGCAGUACACCUAUUAUACAUUCAUCCACCAAGUUUUCCAUCCAUCCAAUCAUCCAUCCAUCCAAUCAUCCAUCCAUCCAUCCAUCCAUCCAUCCAUCCAUCCAUCCAUCCAUGCAUCCAUCCAUGCAGGCACCCAUGCAUCCAUGCAUCCACCCAUUCAUGCAUCUAUGUAACUAAACACCCAAUUAUGUGUUCAUUCAUCCUAACCAUCAGCUCAUGCAUCCAUCCAACCAAGCCUCUAUCCACACACUCACCAUCCACCUAUUUAUGCAUCUAUGCAUGUACAUGCCGAUCCAAACAUCUACCUGUCCAUCCAUGCACCUAUCCAGUGCAUGCAUUGUCUAUCUGCCCAUCUAUAUAUGCAUCUACACAUUUACCCAACCAUCCAUGUAUCCAUGUAUCCAUUCAUGCAUGCAUCCAUCCACCCACCCAUGUAGGCAUCCAAUGUCAAUUAAGCCAUGCCUGGUAAGAGUCACCCUUAGCCAUGUUAAGCGGAAUGAGAAAGGGUCCCAGGAUUUUCCCCAAGGCUACCAUAUCUAGAAUUUGGCCCUUGCUGUGAUUGCCUCCCUCCAGGCUACAUUCUUCUUGGGUACUUCUGGGACACCUUGAGCCCAGGUUGAAGGUGUCACGAUCAUGGCUCAACAAAUUAUCAGAUGGGCCCGUGAGUGGAGAACAAGACCCACCAUGCCAGCACCCCCAGUCCCAGGCAUCCUGUGCACUGGAGGCCCUGCUUAAGAGGACACUUUGAUAAGGUUAUGACACAGGAAAAGCCCAGGGCAAGCUCUGGAUAGAGAGUGUGAUCCUUCUUAUUUCAAAGUGGGGAAACUGAGGCUUGGGGCAGUAAGGGAAGCCAUGUCGGCAGGAUUCCAAAGCAAGGAUAGGGCAGAGCCAAAACCAGACCAUCUGACUCCAGAGCCUUCUGGGAUGAGGAUGCGCUCUGCAUGUCUGCCACCAAGUGUUCACGCUUCUGGGAAAAUAAUCAUCCUAGAUGUGGGGAUGUGAGGCUCUGAUGUUCUGGGAAAUCAAAGCUGGUGAUGAGCAGUGUAUACUGCAGACCCACGGACCCUCACCCACAGGUCACGAAAUCACAGGGGUGGCAUGUCUUAAAAGUAGAAGUAGUGGGCGACCAAGAGGUCCCGGAGCCCUGUCUGCAGGCACCAAUUUACAUGCCAGGGACGGUCCUGUAUGUGGUCACUCGUAAACGAGCUCCCAUCUGAAUCCCGGGGGGACACACAGCACCUAGAAAGGACAUGGAGUUCUCAUGCAGGCCCGACUGAGUUUGUAGUGAUGGUCCCUGGAAGGUACUAGAGACUAACCCUGGUGGGUGAGAGCCAGCACUGUCAGGGCACAAGACAUCUGCGUUGGCACAGGGUGCCUGUGUUCCCUUGUAUACCCACUUGCCCGCCCAAGCCCCUGCAGCCUCGGAUCGGCCCUGCUCAGGUCAUUUUCCACUUUAGCAAAGGCAGAUGGACAGAAGUGGUCUCUCUAACCUUCCGGAGUUUGAGCCUUUUUGACUCAGUGUAAUUCUCUGGAAUCUCCAGGUUGGUCGUGUUCAUCAGUAGCUGUCCCUUAUCCUGGCUGAGUAGUAUUCCCUGGCAUGCCUGUGCCUCCAUUUGUCUCUCUGCUUACCUGCUGAAAGGCAUGUGGGUUGGCUCCAGGUUUGGGCUUCUGUGAAUAAAACUGCUAUAAACACUUUGUACAGGUUUUUAUGGGAACAUAAGUCUUUGUUUCUUUGGGAUGAAUGCCCAGGCAUGAAAUGGCUGAGCUGGUUAGCAGCUUUCCUGCCUGAUGUUUCUGCUGGCAACUUACAAAU